rnacentral:rRNA from 1 species
UCCACGGUGUAAACGCUGCGGGCUUGGUGUUGGGGAUCCUACGAGGGUGUCCAGUGCCGGAGAGAAGUUGUUAAGCCCGCCGCCUGGGGAGUACGAUCGCAAGAUUGAAACUUAAAGGAAUUGGCGGGGGAGCACUGCAACGGGUGGAGCGUGCGGUUCAAUUGGAUUCAACGCCGGAAAACUCACCAGGAGCGACUGUUACAUGAAGGUCAAGCUGAUGACUUUACCUAAUU